GUGUACUCUGCCUGGUUUUUAAAUUUGCAGAAACUCGUUUUGUGGCCAAACAUAGGAGGUGACCUGGUAAAGGAACAAUGUGCACUUCAGAAGAAUUUAUAUUUUUCAGUUGUUGGAUGUAAUGUUCUAAGUCAAAAUGAUUUAUAAUGUUGUUCAGAUAAUCUAUAAUGCUACUUAGGGUUUUUUGUUUGUUUAGUUGUUCUAUCAAUUUCUGAGUUUACAUUUUCAAGUAUAAUUUUGAAAUUGCCUAUUUCUUCCUAUAAUUCUGUCACUUGUUACAGAAGUUGUUAGUAGGCACAUAAAUUUUUAAGACUGUUACAUCUUCAUGUUGAAUUGAUCUUUGUAUCAUUUUGAAGUUCCAUCUGUCACUGACAAGGUUUUUCUUGAAAUCUAUUUUAUCUACUACCAAUAUAACCACUAGAGCCUUCAUAUAUUUAUUACCAUGGUAAAGCCUUUUCUACACAUUUAUUUUCUACUUCUCUGUGUCUGUCUCUUGUAGACAGAAUGUUUUAAUCUUCCUUUUCCUAUCCAUUCAGGCAAUCUGUGCGUUUUACUUAGAAUGCUUUGUCCAUUGACAUUAACUACAAUUACAGAUAUGAUUGAAUUUAGACUUAUUAUUAAAUUGGUUUCUGUUUGUCCUUUCCAAUUUGUGUUUUUGUGUUCUAACUUUCCUGUCCUUAUUUGAUACCAUUUAAAUUUAGUUACUGGCUUUACAGGCUACUUUGCAUUUUUUAAGUGCUUGUUCUGGUCUCUAUUUUCCAGUACAAUAGUCAUCAUUCACUUGUCACUACUGAACACUUGAAAUGUGGCUAAUUCAAAGUGACAUGCACUGUAGGUAUGAAAUGCACCUGGUAUUUCAAAUACUUAUUGCAAAAAAUAUAUAAAAUAUCACAUUGAUAAUUUUAUAUUACAUGUAGAAAUAAUAUUUUAUAUUGAUUAGGUUGAAUAAAAGUAUUACUAAAAUUUAUUUCAUCUGUUCUUUUUAUCUUUCUAACAUGACUACUAGAAAAUUUUAAAUUGCAUAUGUGGCUUAUGUUAUAUUUCUAUAGGCCAGCAUUGUUCUAGGUAUUACAAUAUACAAAGUUAAAUUUGCACAGAUGACAGAAGUUAAU
rnacentral:lncRNA from 1 species